AGUUUUUUACGUGUAAACACUUCUGUUUGGGCAUAUGCAAGUUAAAAUUGAAAUUUAACGCUUGUAUCACUCUUCGAACUGCAACAAGCUUAUGUUUGUUGUGCUAAGCUCUUAUCAAAGAUUUAUGUAACCUCUGGCACUUAACCUUUGCGACACCGCGUAUACGUAAUGUAAUUCCCCCAAAGGGAACUAUUAAUAAAUGGCGAUAAUUUUAUCGGUUUGAAAAUCGUCAUGGUGAAACAUUAAUCAAUCAGUACGCAGCGUUAUUAGCGCGACGGAUCUGAAAGCAUUAUAAAUAACGGGUGAUUGGCGAGAAAACCAUGUAAAACGUUUCCGCUUUCUCGACGUGGAGGAAAUAUUUCGUGCGUCACACGCGUCAGUUUUAUUGAGAACGAACGUUCGAGACAAUCUAAAUAUACGCCAAAGUAAAUCUCGAGCAUGAAAAUUCAAGUGAUCGCGUUCUUAAUGAUUGCCAUGCUGGCAAUCACAAUCGCGCACAGAUCGUCGCAGAAUAAAAUACCGAAUGUUAUCCCAAACAGAACAGGAAUAGAUAGUCAGAAUAUUAUAACGGCACCUGAUAUCCCGUGUCAGGAAAAUCAUCGACAUGACGCCAAUGGAGUGUGCCGGAAAAUUAUAUAAUUAAGAAGACUUGUACAUGAUCCGACGAUAUAAACCAUGUCAUCCGAAAGCUACAAGCAAUGCGAUGAAAUAUCGUAACGGCGACGGCGCAAAAACAGAGAAAUUAAGCAAUUCGUUCGUUUCGUAUUGUCAAAAAAAAA